rnacentral:rRNA from 1 species
UACGGAGGGUGCAAGCAUUAAUCGGAUUUAUUGGGCGUAAAGGGCGCGUAGGCGGAAAGAUAAGUCAGAUGUGAAAUCCCGGGGCUCAACCUCGGAACAGCAUUUGAAACUGUCCUUCUAGAGGCUAGAUGGAGAAAACGGAAUUCCACAAGUAGCGGUGAAAUGCGUAGAGAUCGGAAGGAACAUCAGUGGCGAAGGCGGAUCUCUGGACAGCUCCUGACGCUGAGGCGCGAAGGCUAGGGGAGCAAACGGG